GCUCGUCUUCCCUAUGUGUGUCGUCUUACCAUCCCUCCUACUGCAUUGAUAAUCUUCCAAGGCCAAUAUUAAUUUGAGGUGAUGCCCCCCGCCCCCCGCCCACAAUUUGCCUACCUUCUGAGACCUGGCGGGCCAUAUGUUUUAAAAUUGUAGAGUGGUCAAUGUUGUGGAGCUAGGUGUGAUGUGAAUUAGGAUCAGGCAUUCAAGUCAAUCUGCCGGUGAGCACCAAAAUUCAACUUCUGCUCGUUCAUUCAUUUUUCCAUUCACACUGCAUGCAGCCAUUAGUUUACACACGAAAUCUGUAGCCCAUUCACAUGCUUUUGUGUUUGCACAUUGUAACUCACAGGAACACAAUUUUUCUUUUUUGCAAGCUGGACUAUUGGUUUCUUAUAAUGUUUUGCUAAUUUUUCUUCUCCCUUAUUACAGCGCACUUAUUUCUGCAAUGACAUGUUACAGUUUGGAUGUGGCAGCUGCAUGAUUUUGCUUUUGGGCAAUUUUAUCAAGUAGGGAUUUGCUAGUUGGAAUAUUAUGGCAAUUCAUUCUGCAAUCUUUUUUUUCAGAACUUUCAGCAGUCGAAUAGUUGGAGCAUUUGACAGCAAGUUAAAUCUUUCUGUUGGUAGCAUGAUUACAUUCUGCAAACUGUGCCUCAUCUGAAGAGAAACAACGCUUUUGUUGGUAGUUCAUCUGACAAUUCCAAUGUUGCAGCAGUAUCAAACAGAAAAGGAGGUAAGAGACAGAGCAUUCCAAUGUUGCAAGCUUUAUUUCUAUGAAAUAAUAAUGUUCUAAUUAUGAUGUUCCUUCUAGCAUGAACAUCUUGAAUGUGUAGGUGAUACAUACCACGUGGUGUUUGUUUUUCAUCAAUCCUUUGUAAUAUCAUCAAGUAAAAAACAAGGUAUGCCAGACUAUUUUUGUCGUGUCACAUACUAUUAGGCGAUUGUAAUGUUUAAUUAAAGUUUGGAAUAUAAUCCUAACUUCCAGAUUAUGGAAUACUGCAGGUUCUGUACUACUUGACUUCCAUGGUCCAUUUGCCGAUUCAUUUAUGCAUUCAUUGGUUGGAACAAGUAUCCAAACAUGCACUGUGAAGCUUAAGACACGGUAUCCUAUUCAGUGUUAAGGACUCGGGGGACAAAUGCCAGUGCAUAUCUGUUUUGACAUAUUGGUUACAUGUGUUUCAUGUAACAUGCAUUUCCUGAAGGUGAUAUUGAUUGCCAUCUAUACGCUUUCAGUUGUUCGUUUGCUGUUUUUCGCCAAUUUCAGGGGGUUUAUGAGCUACAAGACUUUUUAAAAAGGGAUGAGCUACAUUACUAUAAACUCAAUCUGUCUUUAUAUAUUACCUCGCCACAGAAAAUUACUUUAACUAUCAGCUAUGAAAAUGAGGUUUAGACCAAUAUCUUGAGUAAAUCCUUGCCCUCAAGUUGCCUAUGAUGCAAUGUAACUACCAUUAGGAAUCACUCCAGGAGGGAUACGAUGGGUUAUUUCGUGGAAACUGCUACUUUGACUAGAAAAAAUAGUCGCAAUAUUAUUUUAUAGUUAGGCUUCCCUUAAAAGCAUAUACACUUGCACGUGUAACAUUUCCAUUUUAAAUACCGUCGUUAGUUUUUAUGUGUGUUUCCUAUUGAUUUUUUCUAGUUAGGAAAUUAUCACAUGGUAAAUCUUGCAUUGUCUGUAUCUUUUUGCAGUUCAAUUAUAUUUAACUUUAUAUGCACUUAACAAUCUUAUCUCCAUAUAUUGAAAAAUAUCUGAAAACAUGGUUUGAUUUUAUGUGAAUGUACUACUAUUUUAGUUGUUCCUACUAUUGUGUGUGCCAUCACUCCUUAGACUUCGAUCAAAAUAUUAUUUAUGUGUUGUCUUUUACUUUGUAAUUGAAUGAUGUUUACAACCGAGACUUCAUCCUGAAGAUCCCUAAUCCCAAUGUUUAUGACUGAAUAAAAAAGAGAGCAAAGACUUGAUUUUCUUAAUCUUGAACGAAAAAUUAGGUAUCAACUUGUCGUCGAGCAAUCUUGGGACAUACAACUUAGAUGGAGAAACAACGAUCGAUUAUAUGUGAUCGUGUUGAUGCAAGGAUAGAUGAUGAUGAUGAUGCAAGUGGUGGUACGUGCAGCGCACUAAAAUUUGACAAAAGGCUGCACAGAUUUUUUGGGGCAUGUAACACUAAUUUCAAUUUGUUUCAUAUUAUGUGCUUUGCUAAAGCUUUUAUCAAAACGAUGAUGUCGUGUGUUGCAAAUAAUUUUCUUCGGAUUUAUUUCACCCCCACCAUCUGAACGCAUCAAGUUUGCGUUGUUCAUAUUCUAUUACAGAGAUUACCAUAUAGUUUUCCCAAAUAAUUAUAUCAUUCUUUCAAAAUGAAAUGAGUGAGUGCACUAUUAUCCAACUUUUUACAUAAGUUCAUCGAUGCUCAUUAUUUUAUUGACAAAAU
rnacentral:lncRNA from 1 species